rnacentral:tRNA from 1 species
UGUAGAUGUUGCUCAGUGGGAAAGCACUUACCUAGAAUUUGCAAGGCCCUGGAUUCAAUCCCCAGCAUCAUAA